CGCGUAGGCGGCCACCGCAAGUCAGUUGUGAAAUCUCUGGGCUUAACUCAGAAAGGUCAACUGAUACUGCGGGGCUAGAGUGCAGAAGGGGCAACUGGAAUUCUCGGUGUAGCGGUGAAAUGCGUAGAUAUCGAGAGGAACACCUGCGGCGAAGGCGGGUUGCUGGGCUGACACUGACGCUGAGGCGCAAGCUAGGGAGCGAACG
rnacentral:rRNA from 1 species